GGGUUGUGAGGUUAAGCGACUAAGCGUACACGGUGGAUGCCCUGGCAGUCAGAGGCGAUGAAGGACGUGCUAAUCUGCGAAAAGCGUCGGUAAGGUGAUAUGAACCGUUACAGCCGGCGAUGUCCGAAUGGGGAAACCCAGUGCAAUUCGUUGCACUAUCGUUAACUGAAUACAUAGGUUAACGAGGCGAACCGGGGGAACUGAAACAUCUAAGUACCCCGAGGAAAAGAAAUCAACCGAGAUUCCCCCAGUAGCGGCGAGCGAACGGGGAGCAGCCCAGAGUCUGAAUCAGCUUGUGUGUUAGUGGAACGGUCUGGAAAGUCCGACGGUACAGGGUGAUAGUCCCGUACACCAAAAUGCACAGGUUUGUGAACUCGAAGAGUAGGGCGGGACACGUGGUAUCCUGUCUGAAUAUGGGGGGACCAUCCUCCAAGGCUAAAUACUCCUGACUGACCGAUAGUGAACCAGUACCGUGAGGGAAAGGCGAAAAGAACCCGGCGAGGGGAGUGAAAAAGAACCUGAAACCGUGUACGUACAAGCAGUGGGAGCACCUUCGGGUGUGACUGCGUACCUUUUGUAUAAUGGGUCAGCGACUUAUAUUCUGUAGCAAGGUUAACCGUAUAGGGGAGCCGCAGGGAAACCGAGUCUUAACUGGGCGUUAAGUUGCAGGGUAUAGACCCGAAACCCGGUGAUCUAGCCAUGGGCAGGUUGAAGGUUGGGUAACACUAACUGGAGGACCGAACCGACUAAUGUUGAAAAAUUAGCGGAUGACUUGUGGCUGGGGGUGAAAGGCCAAUCAAACCGGGAGAUAGCUGGUUCUCCCCGAAAGCUAUUUAGGUAGCGCCUCGUGAACUCAUCUUCGGGGGUAGAGCACUGUUUCGGCUAGGGGGUCAUCCCGACUUACCAACCCGAUGCAAACUACGAAUACCGAAGAAUGUUAUCACGGGAGACACACGGCGGGUGCUAACGUCCGUCGUGAAGAGGGAAACAACCCAGACCGCCAGCUAAGGUCCCAAAGUCAUGGUUAAGUGGGAAACGAUGUGGGAAGGCACAGACAGCCAGGAUGUUGGCUUAGAAGCAGCCAUCAUUUAAAGAAAGCGUAAUAGCUCACUGGUCGAGUCGGCCUGCGCGGAAGAUGUAACGGGGCUAAACCAUGCACCGAAGCUGCGGCAGCGACACUAUGUGUUGUUGGGUAGGGGAGCGUUCUGUAAGCCUGCGAAGGUGUGCUGUGAGGCAUGCUGGAGGUAUCAGAAGUGCGAAUGCUGACAUAAGUAACGAUAAAGCGGGUGAAAAGCCCGCUCGCCGGAAGACCAAGGGUUCCUGUCCAACGUUAAUCGGGGCAGGGUGAGUCGACCCCUAAGGCGAGGCCGAAAGGCGUAGUCGAUGGGAAACAGGUUAAUAUUCCUGUACUUGGUGUUACUGCGAAGGGGGGACGGAGAAGGCUAUGUUAGCCGGGCGACGGUUGUCCCGGUUUAAGCAUGUAGGCUGGUUAUCCAGGCAAAUCCGGAUAAUCAAGGCUGAGGUGUGAUGACGAGGCACUACGGUGCUGAAGUAACAAAUGCCCUGCUUCCAGGAAAAGCCUCUAAGCAUCAGGUAACAUCAAAUCGUACCCCAAAACCGACACAGGUGGUCAGGUAGAGAAUACCAAGGCGCUUGAGAGAACUCGGGUGAAGGAACUAGGCAAAAUGGUGCCGUAACUUCGGGAGAAGGCACGCUGGUGUGUAGGUGAAGUCCCUGCGGAUGGAGCUGAGACCAGUCGAAGAUACCAGCUGGCUGCAACUGUUUAUUAAAAACACAGCACUGUGCAAACACGAAAGUGGACGUAUACGGUGUGACGCCUGCCCGGUGCCGGAAGGUUAAUUGAUGGGGUUAUCCGUAAGGAGAAGCUCUUGAUCGAAGCCCCGGUAAACGGCGGCCGUAACUAUAACGGUCCUAAGGUAGCGAAAUUCCUUGUCGGGUAAGUUCCGACCUGCACGAAUGGCGUAAUGAUGGCCAGGCUGUCUCCACCCGAGACUCAGUGAAAUUGAACUCGCUGUGAAGAUGCAGUGUACCCGCGGCAAGACGGAAAGACCCCGUGAACCUUUACUAUAGCUUGACACUGAACAUUGAGCCUUGAUGUGUAGGAUAGGUGGGAGGCUUUGAAGCGUGGACGCCAGUCUGCGUGGAGCCAACCUUGAAAUACCACCCUUUAAUGUUUGAUGUUCUAACGUUGGCCCCUGACCGGGGUUGCGGACAGUGUCUGGUGGGUAGUUUGACUGGGGCGGUCUCCUCCCAAAGCGUAACGGAGGAGCACGAAGGUUAGCUAAUCCUGGUCGGACAUCAGGAGGUUAGUGCAAUGGCAUAAGCUAGCUUGACUGCGAGCGUGACGGCGCGAGCAGGUGCGAAAGCAGGUCAUAGUGAUCCGGUGGUUCUGAAUGGAAGGGCCAUCGCUCAACGGAUAAAAGGUACUCCGGGGAUAACAGGCUGAUACCGCCCAAGAGUUCAUAUCGACGGCGGUGUUUGGCACCUCGAUGUCGGCUCAUCACAUCCUGGGGCUGAAGUAGGUCCCAAGGGUAUGGCUGUUCGCCAUUUAAAGUGGUACGCGAGCUGGGUUUAGAACGUCGUGAGACAGUUCGGUCCCUAUCUGCCGUGGGCGCUGGAGAAUUGAGGGGGCUGCUCCUAGUACGAGAGGACCGGAGUGGACGCAUCACUGGUGUUCGGGUUGUCAUGCCAAUGGCACUGCCCGGUAGCUAAAUGCGGAAGAGAUAAGUGCUGAAAGCAUCUAAGCACGAAACUUGCCCCGAGAUGAGUUCUCCCUGAGACUAUAAGUCUCCUGAAGGAACGUUAAAGACGAUGACGUUGAUAGGCCGGGUGUGUAAGCGCAGCGAUGCGUUGAGCUAACCGGUACUAAUGAACCGUGAGGCUUAACCUUACAACGCCGAAG
rnacentral:rRNA from 1 species